GAUGAACGCUGGCGGCGUGCCUAAUACAUGCAAGUCGAGCGAACGGACGAGAAGCUUGCUUCUCUGAUGUUAGCGGCGGACGGGUGAGUAACACGUGGAUAACCUACCUAUAAGACUGGGAUAACUUCGGGAAACCGUAGCUAAUACCGGAUAAUAUUUUGAACCGCAUGGUUCAAAAGUGAAAGACGGUCUUGCUGUCACUUAUAGAUGGAUCCGCGCUGCAUUAGCUAGUUGGUAAGGUAACGGCUUACCAAGGUAACGAUGCAUAGCCGACCUGAGAGGGUGAUCGGCCACACUGGAACUGAGACACGGUCCAGACUCCUACGGGAGGCAGCAGUAGGGAAUCUUCCGCAAUGGGCGAAAGCCUGACGGAGCAACGCCGCGUGAGUGAUGAAGGUCUUCGGAUCGUAAAACUCUGUUAUAAGGGAAGAACAUAUGUGUAAGUAACUGUGCACAUCUUGACGGUACCUAAUCAGAAAGCCACGGCUAACUACGUG
rnacentral:rRNA from 1 species